GCAUCAUUGGUCUAGUGGUAGAAUUCAUCGUUGCCAUUUGACUCCCAGAAUUACUUCUGAGCUGUCAUGUGAUCUAAACUCGAUGAGGCCCGUGUUCGAUUCACGGAUGAUGCA
rnacentral:tRNA from 1 species